rnacentral:rRNA from 1 species
AAGUCAAGCUACUAAGAGCCAUUGGUGGAUAAUUAGGCGCUUGAUGGCGAUGAAGGACGUGGUAAGCUGCGAAAAGCUCCGGGGAAGUGCAAACAACUCGUGAUCCGGAGAUGUCCGAAUGGGGCAACCCUCUCUGUUGUAAGACAGAGAAUUCUGGUCUGAAUUCAUAGGGCCACAAAGCCACACGAGGGGAAUUGAAACAUCUCAGUACCCUCAGGAAAAUAAAGCAAAUGCGAUUCCGUCAGUAGCGGCGAGCGAAAUCGGAACAGCCCAAACCUCUGCAAUGUCAAGCUUUGAGGCGUUGUUGUAGGGGUGUUGCGGGCAGAGACAUUGCGUGCUCAAACACGCAGAAGAAGACAGAUUAAACAUAGUCAAACAACCUGGAAAGGUUGACCCAAGAGAGUGAUAGUCUCGUAGACGAAAUGUUUAGCCGCUUCUUUGUCUUUCGCCCAAGUAUUGCCUGAUAAGUGAAAACAGGCAAGAAUCUGGGAGAACCACCUCCUAAGGCUAAAUACAAGCAAGCGACCGAUAGUGAACAAGUACCGUGAGGGAAAAUUGAAAAGAACCCCUGUUAGGGGAGUGAAAUAGAACUUGAAACCAAUAGGCUUACAGGCGGUCGAAGCACUAUGCCUGAACUUCGGUUCAGGAAUGUGUAACGGCGUGCCUUUUGCAUAAUGAUCCGGCGAGUUAUUCCGUGCAGCGAGGUUAAGCUCAGUGAUGAGUGGAGCCGAAGCGAAAGCGAGUCUGAAUAGGGCGUUUAGUUUCACGGAAUAGACCCGAAGCGAAGUGAGCUAUCCAUGACCAGGAUGAAGUCUCGGUAACACGAGAUGGAGGUCCGAACCGAUGUGAGUUGAAAAUCGCUCGGAUGAGUUGUGGUUAGGGGUGAAAGGCCAAUCAAACUUCGUAAUAGCUGGUUCUCCUCGAAACAUAUUUAGGUAUGGUCUGUGGAGGUAGGAAGGAGAGGUAGAGUACUCAAUGGGCUAGGGAGCUUACCGGCUUACCGAACCCAAUGAAACUCCGAAUUCUCUUUGUGUAAUCCAUGGAAUCAGACAGCGGGGGAUAAGCUUCGUUGUCGAGAGGGAAAGAGCCCAGACCGACGGCUAAGGUCCCAAAUUGUAAGCUCAGUGGUAAAGGAUGUGAGAGUUCAUAAACAACCAGGAUGUUGGCUUAGAGGCAGCCAUCAUUUAAAGAGUGCGUAAUAGCUCACUGGUCGAGAAUUCUCGCGCCUACAAUGAUCGGGGCUAAGCUUACAACCGAAGCCACGGCUCCGCAUCUUCGUGAUGCGGGGGGUAGAGGAGCAUUCCUGAUGGGAUGAAGCGGAACCGACAAGGAUCCGUGGACUGCUAGGAAGAGAUUAUGCCGGAAUGAGUAGCGAUAAGAUGGGUGGAAAUCCCAUCCGCCAUAAACCCAAGGUUUCCCGGGGAAGGCUCGUCCACCCGGGGUUAGUCGGUCCUAAGCCAAGGCCGGUUAGGCGUAGGUGAUGGAAAGUCGGUUAAAUAUUCCGACACCUCUUGUUUCGCGUUACCAACUGCUUGGUGCGCAAAAGGCUAAGUGAUCGCGCGACUGAUUGUGCGCGUCCAAAGUGGUAGCUGCAUCGCAAGAUGCGGUGAGAACUGUUAGGGAGCUCGACCUACGGGAAGAGCGAACUCGCUGACGCCAUGUUGCCGAGAAAAGCCAAGUAAGUGAGCGGAAUGAGAGACCGUACCGUAAACGGACACACGUGGGAAGGGUGAGAAUCCUAAGGCGCACGAGUUACUCCUCGCAAAGGAACUAGGCAAAAUUGCCCCGUACCUUCGGUACAAGGGGUGCCUGAGUAGGAUGACUGUCAAAGAAGUCCGAAAAGGUUGCAGUGAAAUGGCCCAGGCGACUGUUUAACAAAAACACAGGUCUCUGCUAAGUCGAUAAGACGACGUAUAGGGACUGACAUGUGCCCGGUGCCGGAAGGUCAAGCGGAGGUGUCAGACUUCGGUCAAAGCACCAAAGUUAAGCCCCGGUAAACGGCGGCCGUAACUAUAACGGUCCUAAGGUUAACGUAUCGCUAGCUUUAGUAAAACCAAACUAUAUGCGGGAAAAUCCUCACACAGCUUUUUGGUACUCGUUUGCAAUCUGCAAGCAGUAAAAAACCAAGAGACAUGGGGACAAUCCGCAGGGAAGGCUCGGCGAAAGCCGUGAACCCUCAGAGACUUUACGUUUGGAAUUGGUCAUGAAACUUGAUCCACAAUGGAUAGCUGGUUUUGUUGAUGGUGAAGGAUGUUUUCAUGUCGGAAUUAAUUCACAUUCCGAAAUGAGCACAGGAUUUCAAGUGCUACCAGAAUUCACCGUCGUACAACACAAGCGCGAUAUCGCGUUAUUGUAUGCUUUAAAGCAUUUUUUCGGUUUCGGGGUUGUGAGAAGCAACCACGGAGACCGGAUGGCAUACCGCGUUCGAGAUAAAUCGCAUUUGCUUGAACAUAUCAUUCCAUUCUUUAUCAAGUAUCCGCUAAAUUCGAAAAAGCAUCUUGAUUUUUUGAAAUUCAGAAAGGUGCUUUUGAUGAUGAAAGCAGGCGAGCAUUUAACCGCAGACGGCGUCAAGAAAAUUCGCCGAAUUGCGGAACAAAUGAAUCGCUGCCAAUUAAGAUAAAGUCCAGCCUUCUAGGAAACUUUAAGGAACAACUGAGCGAAAUUCCUUGUCGGGUAAGUUCCGACCUGCACGAAUCAUGUAACGACUUGGGCGCUGUCUCUGCGAGUCACUCGGUGAAAUUGUAGUAGCGGUGAAGAUGCCGCGAUCCCGCAUCUAGACGGAAAGACCCCGUGCACCUUUACUGUACGCUGGUAUUGCGUUUUGGUUUAGUCUGUGUAGCAUAGGUGGGAGACUUUGAUGUCCUGGCGCUAGCUGGGACGGAGUCGUCAGUGAAAUACCACUCUUAUUGAACUAGAAUGCUAACUCUACUCUCUGAAGCGAGAUAGAGAACAGUGCUAGCCGGGCAGUUUGACUGGGGCGGUCGCCUCCCAAAUUGUAACGGAGGCGUUCAAAGGUUGGCUCAGCGCGGUUGGCAAUCGCGUGUUGAGGGUAAACCCAUAUAGCCAACUUAACUGCGAGACUGACAAGUCGAGCAGUUGCGAAAGCAGGAGUUAGUGAUCCGGUGGUUGAAAGUUGGAAUCGCCAUCGCUCAUCGGACAAAAGGUACGCCGGGGAUAACAGGCUUAUCUUGCCCAAGAGUCCAUAUCGACGGCAAGGUUUGGCACCUCGAUGUCGGCUCAUCACAUCCUGGGGCUGGAGAAGGUCCCAAGGGUUCGGCUGUUCGCCGAUUNNNNNNNNNNNNNNNNNNNNNNNNNNNNNNNNUAUCUGGUGUGGGCGCAGGAACUUUGUGGAAUUCUCUUCUUAGUACGAGAGGACCGGAAGAGACGAACCUCUGGUGUUUCAGUUAUGCCGUCAGGCGUAAGUGCUGAGUAUCUACGUUCGGAAAGGAUAAGCGCUGAAAGCAUCUAAGCGCCAAGCCAGUUCCAAGAUCAGAGUUCCCAAUUCUUUCUUCGGAGAGAGUUUAGAAGACCCCUGGAAGACUACCAGGUUGAUAGGCAGGGAGUGUAAGGGUAGUAAUACCUUCAGCUGACCUGUACUAAUCGGUCGUUCGGCUUGACUCAAUGUUAU